CCCUAGCCCUGAUUGAGCGGCAUGUGUGAGCUCGUUACAAAAAAUAUGGCCAAAAACUUGGCUUUGUAACAGCGAGUAGCGAAAGCAGGUUCUCGG
rnacentral:misc_RNA from 1 species